rnacentral:rRNA from 1 species
UACGUAGGGGGCGAGCGUUGUCCGGAUUUAUUGGGCGUAAAGAGCGUGUAGGCGGCCAGGUAGGUCUGCUGUGAAAACUCGAGGCUCAACCUCGAGACGUCGGCGGAAACCAUCUGGCUAGAGUCCGGAAGAGGAGAGUGGAAUUCCUGGUGUAGCGGUGAAAUGCGCAGAUAUUAGGAAGAACACCCGUGGCGAAGGCGGCUCUCUGGGACGGUACUGACGCUGAGACGCGAAAGCGUGGGGAGCGAACAGG